rnacentral:rRNA from 1 species
UGAGCAACCUGCCCUUGACCCUGGAAUAACAGUUGGAAACAGCUGCUAAUACCGGAUACGACCUCUUUCGACAUCUGAAGAGGUGGAAAGCUCCGGCGGUCAAGGAUGGGCUCGCGGCCUAUCAGCUUGUUGGUGAGGUAACGGCUCACCAAGGCUUCGACGGGUAGCCGGCCUGAGAGGGCGACCGGCCACACUGGGACUGAGAUACGGCCCAGACUCCUACGGGAGCAGCAGG